GGAGAGGUGGCCGAGUCGGCUGAAGGCGCUCGCCUGCUAAGCGAGUAAGGGCUUAACCGUCCUUCGAGGGUUCAAAUCCCUCCCUCUCCG
rnacentral:tRNA from 1 species